rnacentral:rRNA from 1 species
ACGUAGGGGGCAAGCGUUGAUCGGAAUCACUGGGCUUACAGCGCGUGUAGGCGGGGCGGCAGGUCUUCUGUGAAAGCCCCCGGCUCAACCGGGGAACUGCUCGGUGAACCGCACGUCUUGAGGUCAGUAGGGGCGGUCGGAACGAUAGGUGGAGCGGUGAAAUGCGUAGAUAUCUAUCGGAACGCCGAUGGCGAAGGCAGUCCGCUGGGCCUGUCCUGACGCUCAGGCACGAAAGCGUGGGGAGCAAACAG